UCAGGAAAUCGCGGCCGCACGAAGCUCGCGCCCGUGCGACGCCGAUAGUCGUUCGAAUGUAUUUUUCGACGAUGGUCGCGGGCAAAUAGGGGUCGAAGACCCCGUGCCCCCAGCGUAUUCCGCAUCCCAAAGCCCGAACGAUGAAUCGUGCCCCGUGACAACAGAGCCGAUGGCUUGAAGACGAGGAUCACGAAUUUCGUUUCGAGGUUCACCCGAAGCCGCACCGUGAAAACGAACAGCCCUAGGUGAACGGGAAAAUAUUGGCAACCGAAUUCCACGACGGGGGUACGCAACACAAGAAACCGAUCGAACGGCCAAGGCUAGAGUCGCUCUUGGACCAACCAUUGAAAAAGACCGCACGGUUGGACGUCGCUGCACGGAGCAGGGAUCCACAAACCCCAUACAAGA
rnacentral:misc_RNA from 1 species